AGAUUGAACUGAAGAGUUUGAUCCUGGCUCAGAUUGAACGCUGGCGGCAUGCCUUACACAUGCAAGUCGAACGGCAGCGCGGGGCAACCUGGCGGCGAGUGGCGA
rnacentral:rRNA from 1 species